rnacentral:rRNA from 1 species
GACGAACGCUGGCGGCGUGCUUAACACAUGCAAGUCGAACGGUGAAGGGGUCUGCUUUUGUGGGCCCUGGAUGAGUGGCGAACGGGUGAGUAACACGUGAGUAACCUGCCCCCUUCUUCUGGAUAACCGCAUGAAAGUGUGGCUAAUACGGGAUAUUCUGGGUCUGUCGCAUGAUGGGUCUGGGAAAGAUUGCGCCUUUGGGUGUUUUUGGUGGGGGAUGGGCUCGCGGCCUAUCAGCUUGUUGGUGGGGUGAUGGCCUACCAAGGCGGUGACGGGUAGCCGGCCGGAGAGGGGGGACGGUCACACUGGGACUGAGGCACGGCCCAGACUCCUACGGGAGGCAGCAGUGGGGAAUAUUGCACAAUGGGCGCAAGCCUGAUGCAGCGACGCCGCGUGAGGGAUGGAGGCCUUCGGGUUGUAAACCUCUUUCGCCAGUGAAGCAGGCCUGCUCCUUGUGGGUGGGUUGACGGUAGCUGGAUAAGAAGCGCCGGCUAACUACGUG